rnacentral:rRNA from 1 species
UAAUACGGAGGAUGCAAGCGUUAUCCGGAUUCAUUGGGUUUAAAGGGUGCGCAGGCGGAAUGAUAAGUCAGUGGUGAAAUCUCUCGGCUCAACCGGGAAACUGCCAUUGAUACUGCCAUUCUUGAGUACAGUUGAAGUGGGCGGAAUGUGUCAUGUAGCGGUGAAAUGCUUAGAUAUGACACAGAACACCGAUAGCGAAGGCAGCUCACUAAGCUGUAACUGACGCUCAUGCACGAAAGCGUGGGGAUCAAACAGGAUUAGAUACCCUGGUAGUCCACGCUGUAAACGAUGAUCACUCGUUGUUAGCGAUAUACUGUUAGCGACUGAGCGAAAGCAUUAAGUGAUCCACCUGGGGAGUACGGCGGCAACGUUGAAACUCAAAUGAAUUGACGG